UACAGAGGGUGCGAGCGUUAAUCGGAAUUACUGGGCGUAAAGGGCUCGUAGGCGGCCAACUAAGUCACACGUGAAAUCCCCAGGCUUAACCUGGGAACUGCGUGUGAUACUGGAUGGCUUGAAUUCGGGAGAGGGAUGCAGAAUUCCAGGUGUAGCGGUGAAAUGCGUAGAUAUCUGGAGGAAUACCGGUGGCGAAGGCGGCAUCCUGGACCGACAUUGACGCUGAUGAGCGAAAGCGAGGGGAGCAAACGGG
rnacentral:rRNA from 1 species